UGUGUAGACGGCCUACUAAGUUCGUUGUUUAAUCUUCCGGCCUAACUGGAAGCUCGCAAUGGAAACUGGUAAGCUCGAGGGUGGAAGAGAGAAGUGGAAUUCUCGGAGUAGCGGUAAAAUGCGUAGAUCUCGAGAGGAACACCGAUGGCGAAGGCAGCUUCUUGGUCCACUCCUGACGUUGAGACACGAAAGCGUGGGUAGCAAACAGGAUUAGAUACCCUGGUAGUCCACGCUGUAAACGAUGAUCACUGGAUGUCAGCUUCGCUUUGCGAGGUUGGUAUCGAAGCUAACGCGUUAAGUGAUCCGCCUGGGAAGUACGGUCGCAAGAUUAAA
rnacentral:rRNA from 1 species